rnacentral:rRNA from 1 species
GCUACGGGAGGCAGCAGUGGGGGAUAUUGCACAAUGGGGGAAACCCUGAUGCAGCGACGCAGCGUGUGGGAAGACGGUCCUCUGGAUUGUAAACCACUGUCCCCAGGGACGAAAAUGACGGUACCUGGGGAGGAAGCUCCGGCUAACUACGUACCAGCAGCCGCGGUAAUACGUAGGGAGCGAGCGUUGUCCGGAAUUACUGGGUGUAAAGGGAGCGUAGGCUGGUGUGCAAGUUGGGUGUCAAACUACCGGUUAAACUGGGAGUCGCACUCCAAACUGCAGCUCUUGAGUGAAGUAGAGGCAGGCGGAAUUCCUAGUGUAGCGGUGAAAUGCGUAGAUAUUAGGAGGAACACCAGUGGCGAAGGCGGCCUGCUGGGCUUUUACUGACGCUGAGGCUCGAAAGUGUGGGGAGCAAACAGGAUUAGAUACCCCGGUAGUC